UACGUAGGGGGCGAGCGUUGUCCGGAUUCAUUGGGCGUAAAGCGCGCGCAGGCGGUGGCGUGAGCCCGGCGUGAAAGCCCCCAGCUCAACUGGGGGAGGCCGUCGGAGACCGCGGCACUUGAGGCCGGUAGGGGAGAGCGGAAUUCCCGGUGUAGUGGUGGAAUGCGUAGAUAUCGGGAGGAACACCAGUGGCGAAGGCGGUUGCCUGGAGCUUUGCUGACGCUGAUGCGCGAAAGCGUGGGGAGCGAUCCGG
rnacentral:rRNA from 1 species